AGAGUUUGAUCCUGGCUCAGGACGAACGCUGGCGGCAGGCUUAACACAUGCAAGUCGAACGCUCUCUUCGGAGGGAGUGGCGCACGGGUGAGUAACACGUGGGAACCUACCCUGAGGUACGGAAUAACCAUUGGAAACGAUGGCUAAUACCGUAUGUCCCCUGCGGGGGAAAGAUUUAUCGCCUUGGGAUGGGCCCGCGGUCGAUUAGCUAGUUGGUGUGGUAAUGGCGCACCAAGGCGACGAUCGAUAGCUGGUCUGAGAGGAUGAUCAGCCACACUGGGACUGAGACACGACCCAGACUCCUACGGGAGGCAGCAGUGGGGAAUAUUGGACAAUGGGCGCAAGCCUGAUCCAGCCAUGCCGCGUGAGUGAUGAAGGCCUUCGGGUUGUAAAGCUCUUUCAGGUGGGACGAUGAUGACGGUACCACCAGAAGAAGCCCCGGCUAACUUCGUGCCAGCAGCCGCGGUAAUACGAAGGGGGCUAGCGUUGUUCGGAAUCACUGGGCGUAAAGCGCGCGUAGGCGGUCCUGCCAGUCAGGGGUGAAAGCCCAGGGCUCAACCCUGGAACGGCCUUUGAUACUGCGGGACUUGAGUUCGGGAGAGGGGCAUGGAAUUCCCAGUGUAGAGGUGAAAUUCGUAGAUAUUGGGAAGAACACCAGUGGCGAA
rnacentral:rRNA from 1 species